UACAGAGGUCCCAAGCGUUGUUCGGAUUCAUUGGGCGUAAAGGGUGCGUAGGUGGCAUGGUAAGUCGGGUGUGAAAUCCCGGGGCUCAACCCCGGAACUGCACUCGAUACUACCGUGCUCGAGUACUGGAGAGGAGACUGGAAUUUACGGUGUAGCAGUGAAAUGCGUAGAUAUCGGGAGGAAUACCAGUGGCGAAAGCGACACCCUGGCAUUAGCCUGACGCUCAUGUGCGAAGGCGUGGGGAGCGAACGGG
rnacentral:rRNA from 1 species